rnacentral:misc_RNA from 1 species
GAUGAAGAACGCAGCGAAAUGCGAUACUUGGUGUGAAUUGCAGAAUCCCGUGAUCCAUCGAGUCUUUGAACGCAAGUUGCGCCUCAAGCCAUUAGGUUGAGGGCACGUCUGCCUGGGCGUCACAUAUCGUUGCCUGAUGCCAGUUUCCUCGUGAUGGGUGACUGUGCAGGGCGAAUGAUGGCUUCCCGUGAGCAUUGUUGCCUCAUGGUUGGUUGAAAAUUGAGUCCUUGGUAGGGAGCGCCGUGAUAGAUGGUGGUUGAGUGACGAACGAGACCCAAUCAUGUGAGACCCCUACCGAAUUUGGCCUUCAUGACCCACAUGCGUCUUUGGAACGCUCAUGACGAGACCUCAGGUCAGGCGGGGCUACCCGCUGAGUUUAAGCAUAUCAAUAAGCGGAGGA